GUAGCUAAGCCGCAUCUCCAACAUUGAUUUAUUGUAGGGUACAUUUUGUUCAAUUUGUCUGGUACUAAGCACCAUCUAUUUAAAACCUUAAAGUGGGUUUCUAGUAAAUUUAGCGAAUGUAUAGUCUUCGAAACUUCCACCAGUGAAGAACCCCAGUGCUUGAUAUCUAUGUCUAUAUUUAGUUCUACCUUCACGGCAGCUAUAGCUAUUGGAAUUUUUUCUUUAUUGCACAUUUUGCUUAAUAGCAAAGCUUUAGAAAGCGGUUUAUUUAUUCUAUAUGAAUUAAAUAACAUGUUGAUCAUGUUGUUUAAACUAGAUUUAAAUACAAUUAAAUGAGUCGUCAAAAAGUUUUUAAGUCUCAAAAAAUUAAACAGCUCUUUUGAUGGUAGGCUAUACUCCUGUAUUAAUUGAACAAAGGUUUUAAUUGUUCCAUC